GAUGAACGCUAGCGGCAGGCUUAACACAUGCAAGUCGAGGGGCAGCAUGAACUUAGCUUGCUAAGUUUGAUGGCGACCGGCGCACGGGUGAGUAACACGUAUCCAACCUGCCGAUGACUCGGGGAUAGCCUUUCGAAAGAAAGAUUAAUACCCGAUGGCAUAGUUCUUCCGCAUGGUAGGACUAUUAAAGAAUUUCGGUCAUCGAUGGGGAUGCGUUCCAUUAGCUUGUUGGCGGGGUAACGGCCCACCAAGGCAUCGAUGGAUAGGGGUUCUGAGAGGAAGGUCCCCCACAUUGGAACUGAGACACGGUCCAA
rnacentral:rRNA from 1 species